GAGCGGAGAUGAGGUGCUUGCACCUUAUCUUAGCGGCGGACGGGUGAGUAAUGCUUAGGAAUCUGCCUAUUAGUGGGGGACAACAUUUCGAAAGGAAUGCUAAUACCGCAUACGCCCUACGGGGGAAAGCAGGGGAUCUUCGGACCUUGCGCUAAUAGAUGAGCCUAAGUCGGAUUAGCUAGUUGGUGGGGUAAAGGCCUACCAAGGCGACGAUCUGUAGCGGGUCUGAGAGGAUGAUCCGAGCGGAGAUGAGGUGCUUGCACCUUAUCUUAGCGGCGGACGGGUGAGUAAUGCUUAGGAAUCUGCCUAUUAGUGGGGGACAACAUUUCGAAAGGAAUGCUAAUACCGCAUACGCCCUACGGGGGAAAGCAGGGGAUCUUCGGACCUUGCGCUAAUAGAUGAGCCUAAGUCGGAUUAGCUAGUUGGUGGGGUAAAGGCCUACCAAGGCGACGAUCUGUAGCGGGUCUGAGAGGAUGAUCC
rnacentral:rRNA from 1 species